rnacentral:rRNA from 1 species
GACGAACGCUGGCGGCGUGCCUAACACAUGCAAGUCGAACGAGGUCCAUCCUUCGGGAGAAGACCUAGUGGCGAACGGGUGAGUAACACGUGAGGAACCUGCCCCGAAGACCGGGAUAACCCUCCGAAAGGAGAGCUAAUACCGGGAUACCCCCACCGAACCGCAUGGUUUGGUGAGGAAAUGGAUUCCGCUUCGGGAGGGCCUCGCGGCCUAUCAGCUAGUUGGUGGGGUAACGGCCCACCAAGGCAUCGACGGGUAGCUGGUCUGAGAGGACGAUCAGCCACACUGGGACUGAGACACGGCCCAGACUCCUACGGGAGGCAGCAGUGGGGAAUCUUGCGCAAUGGGCGAAAGCCUGACGCAGCAACGCCGCGUGGGGGAUGGAAGGCUCUCGGGUGUAAACCCCUUUCAGCAGGGACGAAUCAAGACGGUACCUG